rnacentral:misc_RNA from 1 species
AAAGUGCGAAAAGUAAUGCGACAAGCAUACCACUGCGAGUCAUCCAGUAUUUGAACGCAAAUGGCACGUAGAUUUGAAAGUCUACGUAUGAGCGGUUGAGGGUCGGAUGAAUUAUCACACCUUGAUGGGUGUGGAUGUGUCCCCGGUGGGGAUGGAAAGCAUGUGGGGGGUGAUGUGUGAUGGAGUGUUCAUCCCGAGGACAAGAGGAGGAUUCUCAGUUCAGGGUGGCAUGUGGGGAUGUGAUGAUAUAUAUCGUCAUACUCCCCAAAUCAUACAUCACCACCCCCCAAACACACAACUUGGACAUUCUGCCCAAAUACCAACUCUUGACCUCAGUCGCUCAGGACUACCCGCUGAACUUAA